rnacentral:ncRNA from 2 species
GUCAGUGACGCGGGGUGCCCGGCUCGUGAGCCGGGCUGAGAAAGACCCGUAGAACCUGAACUAGUUCGCACUAGCGGAGGGACGUCGCGGUGUCGUGGG